rnacentral:rRNA from 1 species
AGUGUUAUUCGUGAUGACUGGGCGUAGGGUACGUAGGCGGCUAGAUUUAUAUAUAGUAAAAGGCUCGGGAGGUCCCGUUCAAUCUAUAUUUACUAAUCAGCUGAGUUCUAAGGGCGAUCUAUUGAAUUCCUUAAGUAAGGGUUAAAUUGUUGAUAUUGGAAGACAUUCGAAAGCGAAAGCAUUUAUGACUUAGAUCUGACGCUAGGUACUAAAGUAUGGGUAUGAAGAGGAUUAGAGACCUUGUAGUCCAUACCUUAAACUAUGAGUGUUAACGUCCUCUUUUAUUGCAUUGAACAUCUACGGAUGUUCCUUAGCAUGGAAUUUGAGGGGGUUUAAAGCUAACGCGUGAAACACCGCCUGGGGAAUGUGGCCGCAAGGUUAAACUCAAAGGAAUUGAGGAGACUUGUACAAGGGGUGGAGAUGUGGUUUAAUUCG